rnacentral:rRNA from 1 species
UACGUAGGGUGCGAGCGUUAAUCGGAAUUACUGGGCGUAAAGCGUGCGCAGGCGGCGCCGCAAGUCAGGCGUGAAAUCCCCGGGCUUAACUUGGGAAUGGCGCUUGAAACUACGGUGCUGGAGUGUGGCAGAGGGAGGUGGAAUUCCACGUGUAGCGGUGAAAUGCGUAGAGAUGUGGAGGAACACCGAUGGCGAAGGCAGCCUCCUGGGCCAACACUGACGCUCAUGCACGAAAGCGUGGGGAGCAAACAGGAUUAGAAACCCCCGUAGUCC